rnacentral:rRNA from 1 species
CCUACGGGAGGCAGCAGUGGGGAAUUUUGGACAAUGGGCGAAAGCCUGAUCCAGCAAUGCCGCGUGAGUGAAGAAGGCCUUCGGGUUGUAAAGCUCUUUUGUCAGGGAAGAAACGGUGAGGGCUAAUAUCUCUUGCUAAUGACGGUACCUGAAGAAUAAGCACCGGCUAACUACGUGCCAGCAGCCGCGGUAAUACGUAGGGUGCAAGCGUUAAUCGGAAUUACUGGGCGUAAAGCGUGCGCAGGCGGUUUUGUAAGUCUGUCGUGAAAUCCCCGGGCUCAACCUGGGAAUUGCGAUGGAGACUGCAAGGCUAGAAUCUGGCAGAGGGGGGUAGAAUUCCACGUGUAGCAGUGAAAUGCGUAGAGAUGUGGAGGAACACCGAUGGCGAAGGCAGCCCCCUGGGUCAAGAUUGACGCUCAUGCACGAAAGCGUGGGGAGCAAACAGGAUUAGAUACCCUGGUAGUCCACGCCCUAAACGAUGUCUACUAGUUGUCGGGUUUUAAUUAACUUGGUAACGCAGCUAACGCGUGAAGUAGACCGCCUGGGGAGUACGGUCGCAAGAUUAAAACUCAAAGGAAUUGACGGCNGAGAGUGACGAGACGACGACGAGGGAGGAGG